rnacentral:rRNA from 1 species
AUUGAACGCUGGCGGCAGGCCUAACACAUGCAAGUCGAGCGAGCGGCGGACGGGUGAGUAAUGUCUGGGAAACUGCCUGAUGGAGGGGGAUAACUACUGGAAACGGUAGCUAAUACCGCAUACCAUCAGAUGUGCCCAGGUGGGAUUGGCUAGUAGGUGGGGUAACGGCUCACCUAGGCGACGAUCCCGAGCUGGUCUGCGAGGAUGACCAGCCCCCCUGGAACGGGAACACGGUCCAGACUCCUACGGGGGUCAGCAGUGGGGAAGAUUGCACAAUGGGCGCAAGCCUGAUGCGGCCAUGCCGCGUGUGUGAAGAAGGCCUUCGGGUUGUAAAGCACUUUCAGCGGGGAGGCGUUACCCGCAGAAGAAGCACCGGCUAACUCCGUGCCAGCAGCCGCGGUAAUAC